rnacentral:tRNA from 1 species
GGUUGUGGCUCAGCAGUAGAGCGCUUGCCUUACAUGUGAGAGACCCUGGGUUUGAUCCCCAGCACCA